rfam:Chamaesiphon minutus PCC 6605, complete genome.
GCGAGCGUCGCCUAGUGGUUAUGGCAGAGGUUUGUGGUACCUCCACUCGCGGGUUCGAAUCCCGUCGUUCGCC